rnacentral:lncRNA from 1 species
GCUCCACUAGGUGGUAUGUUCUCUUGGCAGCCACCAGGGCCCCCACUACCCACAUUGGAGCUCCGGGGCCAGGCUUCACUUCUUCAGGCAGCACCAGAUACUCUGAGACCUUCUCACAGUACCUGGUGAAUGAAUUGGAGCCAUCUUUCGAGGCUUGCUUUGCUUCUCUGGUGAGUCAGGACUAUGUCAAUGGCACUGAUCAGGAAAACAUUCAAACUGCUGUUGAUCAGUAUAUCUAGGAGUUUCUGGAUAUUGCAACACAGGCAGAAUGUUUUCCUACAAAAAACGAUUGCAAUUACUUGUCCAGACACCAGAGCAAGUUACCAAAGAGGAUGUCUCAGAACUAAGGAAUGAAUUACAACAGAAAUACACACUGGUCCAGAAGCACUUGACAAAGCUGAGGCACUGGCAACAGGUGCUGAAGGGCAUCAAAUGUGCAGCACAGAACACCAGGCAGCAGCCCUCAGGGCUCCUCCACGUACCUCAAGCAGGCAUCUGCCAACAUCCCUGCACCUCAGAAACUGACCUGA